rnacentral:rRNA from 1 species
UCCGGUUGAUCCUGCCGGAGGAUACUGCUAUUCGGAUUCGACUAAGCCAUGCAAGUCGAGAGUCUUCGGGACUCGACGUACUGCUCAGUAAUAUGUAGUUAACCUACCCUAAAGUCAGGAAUAAUCUCGAGAAAUUGAGGCUAAUACCUGAUAGACAUUCUGGUCUGGAAUGAUAGAAUGUCCAAAGAUCCGUCGCUUUAGGAUGGGACUAUACCUUAUCAGCCUGUUGGGGGUGUAAUGUACCCCCAAAGCUAUAACGGGUACGGGCCAUGAGAGUGGAAGCCCGGAGAUGGAUUCUGAGAUAUGAAUCCAGGUCCUACGGGACGCAGCAGGCGCGAAACCUUCACUAUGCAUUAACGUGCGAUGAGGGUAUCUGAAGUGCUUAUGCUUUGCAUAAGCUUUUUUCAAGUUGAAAGAGCUUGGAGAAUAAGGGGUGGGUAAGACAGGUGCCAGCCGCCGCGGUAAUACCUGCGCCCCAAGUGGUAUCCGGUAUUAGUUGGUCUAAAGCGUCCGUAGCCGGUUUUGUUAGUCCUUAGUGAAAUCUACUGGAAAACUGGUAGGCUUGCUGGGGAUACUGCAAGACUUGGGAUCGGGAGAGGCUAGAGGUACUGCUGGGGAAGGGGUAAAAUCCUAUAAUCCCAGUGGGACCGCCUGUGGCGAAGGCGUCUAGCUAGAACGAGUCCGACGGUGAGGGACGAAACCUAGGGUAGCGAUCGGGAUUAGAUACCCCGGUAGUCCUAGGCGUAAACGAUGCCCACUUGGUGUUACAAACCUUACGAGGGUUUGUAGUGCCGGAGCGUAGGUGUUAAGUGGGCCACCUGGGGAGUACGACCGCAAGGUUGAAACUUAAGGGAAUUGGCGGGGGAGCACACAAGGAGUGGAGGCUGCGGUUCAAUUGGAUCCAACGCCGGAAAUCUCACGGGGAUCGACAGCAGGAUGAAGGUCAGUCUGAAGGGCUUACCAGACAAGCUGAGAAGUGUUGCAUGGCCAUCGUCAGCUCGUACUGUGAAGCGUGCGGUUAAGUCCGUUAACGAGCGAGAUCGACAUCCUAUGUUGCUAAUUCGCUAGAAUGCACUCAUAGGAGACCGCUAGUGAUAAACUAGAGGAAGGCGUCGGCGACGGUAGGUCAGUAUGGCCUGAAUUUCCCCGGCUACACGCGGCCUACAAUGUAUGAGACAAUGGGUUGCGACCCUGAAAAGGGAAGCUAAUCUCCUAAACUUAUACUCGGUACGGAUUGAGGUUUGUAACUCAGCCUCAUGAAGCUGGAAUUCCUAGUAGACAAACGUCAUUAUCGUUCGUCGAAUAUGUCCCUGCUCCUUGCACACACCGCCCGUCAAGCCAUCCGAGUGGAGCUCAAAUGAGGCGCUCUCUUUAUGGGAAUGUCGAAUUUGGGUUCCGCGAGGGGGGCUAAGUCGCAACAAGGUA